rnacentral:rRNA from 1 species
CAGGCCUAACACAUGCAAGUCGUACGAGAGUUUUUAACUCUAGUGGCGGACGGGUGAGUAACACGUGAGAAUUUGCCUUUAGGAGGGGGAUAACAAUUGGAAACGAAUGCUAAUACCCCAUAUGCUUUCGAGUGAAAUGGAUUUAUAUUUAUCCGCCUAGAGAGAAGCUCGCGGCUGAUUAGCUUGUUGGUAAGGUAAGAGCUUACCAAGGCGACGAUCAGUAUCUGGUUUGAGAGGACGAUCAGACACACUGGAACUGAGACACGGUCCAGACUCCUACGGGAGGCAGCAGUGGGGAAUUUUCCGCAAUGGGCGAAAGCCUGACGGAGCAAUACCGCGUGAGGGAAGACUGCCUAUGGGUUGUAAACCUCUUUUUUCAGGGAGGAAUAAAAUGACGUGUACCUGAAGAAUAAGCAUCGGCUAACUCCGUGCCAGCAGCCGCGGUAAGACGGAGGAUGCAAGUGUUAUCCGGAAUCACUGGGCGUAAAGCGUCUGUAGGUGGUCUAAUAAGUCAACUGUUAAAUCUUGAGGCUCAACUUCAAAAUCGCAGUCGAAACUACUAGACUAGAGUAUAGUAGAGGUAAAGGGAAUUUCCAGUGGAGCGGUGAAAUGCGUAGAUAUUGGAAAGAACACCGAUGGCGAAAGCACU